CCUACGGGGUGCAGCAGUAGGGAAUAUUGCACAAUGGGGGAAACCCUGAUGCAGCGACGCCGCGGGAGUGAAGCAGUAUUUCGGUAUGUAAAGCUCUAUCAGCAGGGAAGAAAAUGACGGUACCUGAUUAAGAAGCCCCGGCUAACUACGUGCCAGCAGCCGCGGUAAUACGUAGGGGGCAAGCGUUAUCCGGAUUUACUGGGUGUAAGGGGAGCGUAGACGGCAGCGCAAGUCUGAAGUGAAAUGCCGGGGCUGAACCCCGGACCUGCUUUGGAAACUGUGCAGCUAGAGUGCAGGAGAGGUAAGUGGAAUUCCUAGUGUAGCGGUGAAAUGCGUAGAUAUUAGGAGGAACACCAGUGGCGAAGGCGGCUUACUGGACUGUAACUGACGUUGAGGCUCGAAAGCGUGGGUAUCGAACAGGAUUAGAUACCCCUGUAGUC
rnacentral:rRNA from 1 species